CUAGCGCCGCAGGCCAAGAGAAGUGCUCUUGGUGCGGAUGCUGUGACGCCACAUUAAGUUCAGGGAUCCGAUGUAGGGUGUGCAAUAAACCUGUACAUGGUACAGAUAGGUGCUCCUUCCUGGACCCUCGCCUCUUUACUGUGAGCUCGGUCCCAACUGAAUCUGAAAGAAUAUGCAGGGCAUGUUUGUGCCCCAAAUGCAAGGACAUUGCAAAAUGGCCACACUUAUGCACUUGCAAGACGUGUGGGCUUCACAUUCAAGGGAACCUUAAAAAAUGUCUGAACUGUUCCUGACUGUACCACAUGACAUGCUGUCCUGGUACAUUCUUCCAGUCGUGCACCAUGUCACAAGUAACUUCUUUACGUCCUGAGGCCUUCCCAAUUCUAAAGACAAAUGACAUGUUCACUGAUGCCCACUUCGAAGCUGUUAAUCGUUUGCUGCGGCACCAAUACCCUUAUGUUCAGGG